rnacentral:lncRNA from 1 species
UUGAAGCAACGAGAAUUGUAGCGCGUUACUCACUGGACACCCCGGUGACAUUGGCUUGCUGUAGUUCCUGCUUUGGCUGCGAUCCUUCCAAUUUCUGUUUCUGUCUACAGAAUUUCUCCUUAUGAUCAAGCCUUUUGCAGAAGUUGCACCGAACAGUUUUCUUUUCCUUGGACUAGCACUUAUUUUCAAGGUGAUUUAUCAAGGAACAAAUGCUGCACUGAGGAUAUUUCUUUUGCUUACUGGAAUUUUGAUUUCCAGUUAGAUUCCCUUCACUCCUUCUCUCUUGAUUCUGUGUUGAAGAGUUUCCUUUGAUCUGUGUUGAAAUUAAGGCUCCCUCGGUGUGUUAUCGAACAUGCAUAUUUACCUGCUGUUCACUGGAUUGAAGCUUGUUUAUUAGCUCAGCCGAGGAGAUAGAUUCAAUGUCGGAAAGCUCCUCCAAGGCUGAGAUUUUAGACUUGAAUUUAGGGGGCAAGCUGAUAAGAAUCUGCUCUACUACCCUUGAUU